rnacentral:sRNA from 1 species
CUUUCCAUCAUGUGGGUCCUGGAAAUUAUUCGAGUUGUCAGGCUUAGGUGCAAUUGUCUUUAUAGGCUGAGCUACCUAGUCAGUCCCCUAAUGGUUUUGUCAAGAACAAUUGAGGUAAUCUCCCACAGGGGAUUUAGAGAACCAUUUGUGGAUGUUUUAUUUUCUGUGUAAUGUCUUAGCAGGCACGUGAAUCCUUGCAUCUUCUCACUCUUCUUUAAAACCAUAGCUCCUAUUUUGUUCACCCCAUAAAGCCUGUCAGUCUUUCCUGCGUUCCCCUUGUUAUGCUCAUUUGACAUUCCACACAGGUUAAGCACAGAUGUUGUUUAUCAUUUAUGCAUCAGUUCUGGCUUCCCCUACAAGAAAGCUCAGCCCAUCUUGAAUUCAUUGUAUUCCAAUCCAGGGGACAGGUUUUUACACUCGAAACUCAGAGUGUCUUUUGUUUCAGCUGUUGCCACUUCACUACCUGGGGUACUUGUGUAUUAUGUCUGAAGCUCUAAGACAGAUGGAGGUUUUCAAUUCAUAUUGGUGGUAUUUAUUGCAUGGAUAACAAAGGUAGCCAGCUUUAGAGAUGCUGAACAGCUUUCUGCAAUUAUAACCUCACCAGCAGUGAAGCACUGACCAGCUGGACUCUAAGGCUGCUUAAUCCAUACAUGUAGAAGACCUUGAGAGACCCUCUACUAGAGAAACAGAGUUACAGUUUUGCAUUAAAUCAUCUGGGGACACUGGUAAUGGAUGACAUUCACUGACUUGGAUUUCUUCUUUCCAACCUACCUCAUGUAGGUAUUUUUAUCAGGCAAAAAAAAGUUUGGAAAUCACAUUCUAGGGACCACCACUGAUAUGAGGUCUAAGACUAGCUGGAUGUGUAUGACCAGAUGGUGAAAGGAUCCACGGAACAGAUAGAGAAUGGUAUACUCAAGGUUAAAUCUUAUAAGUGGAAAUUGGAUCCCCAGCUGGAGAUGAAAGACAGUCCCUCCGAGAAGUCAUGACUGCAGUCUGCUGCUCGGUGGGUACAGCAGUUGAAGAUGACAGAUUUCAGUGCUUCAGCAUCACCACGCUGUCCGUCUGAGGGCACCUAGAGUGGAGAUUACGUGCUCCUAGGGAGAACAAUAUUUGCACCCUUUUACUUAUGGCCUAUGUGAGGGAGAUGGGAGCCAGGUAAGUGGGUUUUUCUGUCGUUUAUGAGAAAUAAGUUAGAUAAAGUGAUAAAGAGGGCUAGGCAGCAAGUGAUUUAUAAAUAAAUGGCUUGCCUUCUAGGCAUCCAGCUAUCUAAACUACAGGAAAUCUUUCUUCCCUUUAGAAUAGAACCAUUUGACUUCUUAGAUUUAAACAGUGGAAGUAAAAAAGAUUUUAGAUAGUAAGUUUUGUCCUUUGAAGAAUUAUUUUGCAAUUCCAUGGUUCCAAAUGAAACACCUCUGAUUUAUUUAGUUUUAUUUAUUUAUUACUGCAGGUGAUACUCUGGGGUAGCUACAAUUUUCAAGGGCUGGGGUUUUCAGUUCAGUAGGACACACAUGAUAUUAUCCUUGGGCUGAGACUGUGGCUCAGGGAGUCAAGUGCUUGCCAUCCAAGCAUGAGAACCUGAGUUCAGAUCCCAAUACCCAUUAAAAGGCAAGGCAUGGUCACUGUAUCUGUAAUACCAGUUCUGGAGAGGUAGAGACAUGUUGAUUGCUGGAGCUUAUGGGCCAGCCAGUUCAGCUUAAUCAGUGAGCUCCAGAAUCACUUAGCAACUGCCUCAAAACAUAAGGUGGCCAGAGAUUAGAGAAGUAACUCCUUAUUUAAGAGCUUUUUCUGCUUUUAUAACAGACUCAAGUUUGGUUCCAAGCACAUAUUUUGGUGGACAGUCACCACCUGCAGCUCCAACUUUGAGGGACCCAAUACCUUUUCUGGUUUCCAUGGGUACCUACAGUUACAUACCCCUACAGAGACACACAGACACAUAAUAAAAGUAAGAGAAAUCUUACAAAAUACGAUGUGGAGAGUGAUAGAGGAAGACACCCAAUGAGUUACAUACCCCUACAGAGACACACAGACACAUAAUAAAAGUAAGAGAAAUCUUAUAAAAUACGAUGUGGAGAGUGAUAGAGGAAGACACCCAAUGUUCAGCUCUUGAUGCCCUAUUUGUACAUAUGGGUUGAUUUCUCUCUCUCUCUCUCUCUCUCUCUCUCUCUCUCUCUCUCUCUCUCUCUCUCUCUGUCUUCUAAAGUUGGGCUUUUAAUGGUAAGACUGACAUCAUCAAAACAACAAUACCUUCUGUAGAGUGGAGGCGAUCUAAAGGAGACUUCCAGGCACCUUCUCUUGCAGAGUUCAUACUACCAAAUAAGAAAAGCCAGUUCUCGAAAUGCACCCUGUUCUAGUGUCUUGAGGCUUUUUAAUGGUAUAGGGCUAUUCUGGAACUCAUGUAGGCAAGAAGACCUUAAACUUGUGGUCCUUCUGUCUCUAUUUCUCAAGUUCUAGGAUGCUUCGCAUGGUCCCACCAAAUUUUACUCAGUACUGGGGAUGGAAUCCCAAGCUUUGUGUAUGGUAAGCAAGCACUCUAGCAGUUGAGUUGCUUCUGCUGACCCCACCCAGGGUUCUUUCCUGGGCCCCUUACUGACUUUGGCUUUUCAAAGUUUUUAAAUAUACCUUCAUUAGAUCGAGCGUUUUCUGAAUUUUAGAUACUGGAUCAUUCACAUUAAUUUGGUCUUCAGGUUUAACCAUGUUAUCAUUUUCAGCCAAAAGCAGGUAUAGAGAGAGGUGAUGGAGGUAGGGUGGUACAAUCAAGUCUAUGGCUACAAAGGCCUGUAAAGAACCAAAAGUGAAAGACUUGAACAUUAGAAGGGAGAACACUAAGGAAGAAAAAUAAGUGCCAAGGUUAUGAAUGAAGACCUUUUACCAUGUUGCCUGUGAUUGGAUGGAGGCUUUCACACAACUUGUACAACCAAGAAUGCAGUGGAUACUCUGUUACUCCAUACCAGACCAUUUGCCCUGUUCAGUUGGACUUCUCCAAUAUACACUGUUUAUAGGAACAGCAUAUUUCUGUAUCCCACCCUGGGCUGGACUUGUCAGCAUCUCUUGGUAGUGUCAAUAUAUUGAGAGUGGCCAGGCUAAAAGUACUGACCAAGCAGAUUCAAUGUGCCAAGGAUUCUCAGCAAUAUGAACUCCACAUUGAAUAAGAGCAGUAAAAAAAGAAAAAUCCAUGAUUUCAGCAGCUGAGAUUAGAGUAGAAGAGACAAGAAGCCAAUAGAUAUGUAAAUUAAAAGAUACGCAACAUGAAAUUGAAAAUUUCAAUUUCAUCUCAAUUUAAGAGAGGAAUAAUCAACCUUAUGGUUAAAUUGCUGCUUUUGCCUCUGUAUUCUUGGGGAAAGUGUCUCUGAGGACUGGAGUAUCUUACUUCAUUGAGCACAGACUAUUGGGUACCUUCCGUGUUUUAGGUCUUCAUGUACUGAAAGGCUUAAUUAUUCUCGUACUCAGAGAGCUUCCUGGCAAUUGUUAGAUAACAGAUAUAAGAUGCCUUUAGUGCUCCUUACUAUUAAUGUACACAUACUCUAAAUUACUCUUAGUUGUCAUAUGCACUAUGCAACAUAAAUGAGUAUAACUGUACUUU